CAUGCAAGUCGAACGAUGAACCACUUCGGUGGGGAUUAGUGGCGAACGGGUGAGUAACACGUGGGCAAUCUGCCCUGCACUCUGGGACAAGCCCUGGAAACGGGGUCUAAUACCGGAUAUGACCCUCGCAGGCAUCUGUGAGGGUGUAAAGCUCCGGCGGUGCAGGAUGAGCCCGCGGCCUAUCAGCUUGUUGGUGAGGUAACGGCUCACCAAGGCGACGACGGGUAGCCGGCCUGAGAGGGCGACCGGCCACACUGGGACUGAGACACGGCCCAGACUCCUACGGGAGGCAGCAGUGGGGAAUAUUGCACAAUGGGCGAAAGCCUGAUGCAGCGACGCCGCGUGAGGGAUGACGGCCUUCGGGUUGUAAACCUCUUUCAGCAGGGAAGAAGCGAAAGUGACGGUACCUGCAGAAGAAGCGCCGGCUAACUACGUGCCAGCAGCCGCGGUAAUACGUAGGGCGCAAGCGUUGUCCGGAAUUAUUGGGCGUAAAGAGCUCGUAGGCGGCUUGUCGCGUCGGUUGUGAAAGCCCGGGGCUUAACCCCGGGUCUGCAGUCGAUACGGGCAGGCUAGAGUUCGGUAGGGGAGAUCGGAAUUCCUGGUGUAGCGGUGAAAUGCGCAGAUAUCAGGAGGAACACCGGUGGCGAAGGCGGAUCUCUGGGCCGAUACUGACGCUGAGGAGCGAAAGCGUGGGGAGCGAACAGGAUUAGAUACCCUGGUAGUCCACGCCGUAAACGGUGGGCACUAGGUGUGGGCGACAUUCCACGUCGUCCGUGCCGCAGCUAACGCAUUAAGUGCCCCGCCUGGGGAGUACGGCCGCAAGGCUAAAACUCAAAGGAAUUGACGGGGGCUCGCACAAGCGGCGGAGCAUGUGGCUUAAUUCGACGCAGCGCGAAGAACCUUACCAAGGCUUGACAUACACCGGAAAACCCUGGAGACAGGGUCCCCCUUGUGGUCG
rnacentral:rRNA from 1 species